UCGCAUCUGCUUUAUAGUAUCGAUAACAUUUACAUACAAUAAUGAGUAAAUUAAAGUGUAGUGUAAUUCAAAAAUAGAAAGGAAUUAUGUCCAGUGACUUACGAUGUAAAGAACUAAUAUUUUAUGAGUGAUUUAUUGGAAAACAAAUAGUUUACAUAAUGGUCGUACAAGUAAAUAAACUAUAAAUAAUUUUUUACCUGCUCCAAGUAAAAUUAUUUUGAGUGGAACGGAUAAUAAAAAUUGCAGGAAUGACAGCAAUUCAAAGGAAAUUUUAAUAUUUACGUAAAUUUUGAAUUAAAUAAGGGAUAUACAAGCGACUACAACUAACCAUUGAAUAAUAAGGUGGAUUUGAUCGCCCAGUUGAAGGAGCGAUUGUGGAGAUGAAUUUUGUUCUUAGUGUGUUGUUAAUAGCAAUUCUUAAAGAUAAAUAUGAACACUGGCUGCCAUCAAGGGCAGGUUGUCAAACCCUGGCAGCAAAUGUAUGGUCUGACAAAACGACUGUGCAAAAUGAGCCCAUAAAUUUGACUAAUGCAAAUGCGCCGAUAAAGAAUGAAAAGAAUCUAAGUUCUACCAUUACAAACGUAGCUACGUUUGACACUAAAUUAAAUCACCUGUUAGUGGACACCAUUACUGGACGAGUCUUUGUUGGUGGUGUUAACAGGUUGUAUCAAUUGUCGCCUGAUUUGGAGCUUUCCGAAACUGUAAAAACGGGGCCUCAAAAUGAUUCCGUAGAGUGUAGCAUCCUUGAUUGUCCAUUAAAUGCCGUUCGCAGUCCGACGGACAAUUAUAAUAAGGUCUUGCUCAUUGAUCGUGCAACUUCUAGACUUAUUGCAUGCGGAUCACUAUUCCAGGGUACAUGCACAGUUCGUAAUCUUCAAAAUGUCAGCAUAAUUGAGCAUGAAGUUCCUGAUGCUGUUGUGGCAAAUGAUGCAAACUCCUCAACGGUAGCAUUUAUAGCGCCGGGACCUCCCCAACACCCGGUGACAAAUGUGAUGUACGUCGGAGUUACUUACACAAAUAAUUCACCGUACCGAAGUGAAAUACCAGCAGUUGCAUCCCGCUCCCUUGAAAAGACGAAAAUGUUUCAGAUUGCUUCUUCGGCAGUUACAACUGGAACGAGAACUUUUAUAAAUUCAUACGCACGCGAAACAUAUUUUGUAAACUAUGUUUAUGGAUUCAGUUCUGAGCGAUUUUCUUAUUUUCUGACAACCCAAUUAAAGCACAGUCACCACUCUUCUCCUAAAGAGUACAUAACGAAACUCGUACGAAUAUGCCAGGAAGACUCAAACUAUUAUUCUUAUACUGAAAUACCAGUGGAAUGUAUAAGUGAUGUUCAAGGCGGUACUAAAUUCAACUUAGUUCAGGCUGGAUAUUUAGGAAAACCUAGCUCAGACCUGGCUCAAAGCCUAGGUAUAUCUAUUCAGGAUGAUGUCCUCUUUGCUGUUUUUUCAAAAGGAGAUGGGAACACACCAACGAACAAUUCAGCACUUUGCAUUUACUCAUUAAAAUCUAUUCGUCGUAAAUUUAUGCAAAACAUAAAAUCCUGUUUUAACGGGAAUGGGAUGAGAGGCCUGGACUUUAUAUCUCCCAGCAUGCCAUGUGUGCUUACGAAACUUCAAACCAUUGGAGAGGACUUCUGUGGACUAGAUGUCAACUCACCUUUAGGAGGAGAAAACCCCAUUACUUCAGUACCGGUGGCCAUGUUUAACACCAAGUUAACUUCAGUUGCUGCUACAAGUACAAGCGGGUAUACCGUUGUCUUCGCGGGGACCAGCGAUGGAUUCCUUAAGAAAGUUGUAAUCGAGUCUUCAUCUGUUGCCAACGAGUAUGCUAGUUUUUCUGUGGACUUAGGGUCUGAAAUUAAUCGGGAUAUGCAGUUUGACAACCAAAACCUUUAUAUGUAUGUCAUGUCCAAAACAAAAGUAUCCAAGGUUAAAGUAUUUGAUUGCUCUGAUUACAAGACAUGUGGAGAUUGCUUGGGUGCUAGAGAUCCAUAUUGUGGCUGGUGCUCUUUGGAAAACAAAUGUAGCCCACGUUCCAAUUGUCAGGACGACGCUAACGAUCCUCUGUAUUGGGUCAGCUAUAAAACAGGAAAGUGCACAAUAAUAACAAGUGUUGUGCCACACCAGCUACAACGUACUACAGCUCGAACUUUAGAGCUCAUCAUAGAUCAUUUGCCUCAACUAAAAGAGAAUUUAAUUUGUGCUUUUACUACAGAGGAUAAAGCCCUUUUUACUAAUGCUACAAAAAAACGAAAUGGGGUAAACUGCACGACACCGCGAACGGAUAUGCUACCACAAAUUGAACAGGGAAAACAUCACUUUACUGCCAAACUAUCUGUGCGGACUAGAAAUGGACCAGACUUAGUGUCCACGGAUUUUACUUUUUUUGAUUGCAGUACACACUCAUCAUGUACACGUUGUGUGUCCUCGGAGUUUCCAUGUGAUUGGUGUGUUGAAGCUCACAGAUGCACACACGACACAGCUGAAAAUUGUCGCAACGAUAUUUUAGUAACAGGCGUUAGCCGUAUAGGUCCUAGUUACAGAUCAGGUCCUGGAUUUUGUCCAACGAUCAACGCUACCGGAGAUGGAAGUGAAGUACUUGUCGCCGGUGGUACAAGCAAAUCUAUUAAAGUAAAAGUUCAUAUUAUUGGCCAAUUUAUAGUUCAAACGAGAUUCGUUUGUCAAUUUAAUAUUGAGGGACGUGUAACGAGUUUAAACGCUCAGUUGUUAGGUGACACCAUUUACUGCGAUAGCAUGGAAUUUCAGUACACUUCUAGAUCGCCAAAUUUGACAGCAACUUUUGCUGUUAUAUGGGGUGGAUCCAAGCCACUUGACAAUCCUCAUAACAUACAUGUUGUAAUAUAUCGAUGUCGAGAAAUGGCCGAUAGCUGUGGAAUAUGUUUGGCCCUAGCUGAAAAGUAUAAUUGCGGAUGGUGUUCGUCUACUAAUACAUGCGAAGUUGAAGAACAAUGUAACAAAAACAAAGAGGGGAAAACAGAUUGGCUUAAUCGAAGUGAAAUUUGCCCAAACCCUGAGAUUCAUACAUUCGAACCAAAAACAGGUCCCUGGGAAGGGGGAACAAAUAUAACAAUACGAGGAAUUAAUUUAGGCAAAAACUAUAAUGAUAUUUAUUCAGGAGUUCGAAUAGCUGGUAUAAAUUGUAUGCCAUUUCCUCAAUUUUAUAUUGACACAAAGCAAAUAGUAUGUACUGUGGAUAGUCCUGGGGAACAGAUGUAUAGAAAUGGCAAAAUAGUCGUACAAAUAGGGGACUAUCGUGGUGAGUCUAAAGAGGACUACGAGUUCGUUGACCCGAAAAUUUUGGAUUUUAAUCCAAAGUUUGGUCCAACUUCAGGUGGAACUGAAAUACAUAUAACUGGAAAGCACUUAAAUGCCGGCUCUCGCAUACAGGCAUCCAUAAACGAUUACUUACCUUGUAAAAUACUGAGCACAGAUUCAUCUCAAGCCAUAUGUCGCACAUCUCCUUCCCCUGGUAUCAUUGAAGGAAGACUAAAAAUGUCUUUUGAUAAUGGGCCCAGAGAGUUUAAUGAUUACAAUUUUAAAUAUGUUUUGGAUCCUACAAUUGAACACGUUAGUUCUGGACCAAGUGGGCAAAUAAAAGUACCAAAGGGAAUACCAGCAGGCGGUAUUCGAAUUUCUGUAACUGGUACCCAAUUUCAAAGUAUACAAACUCCCAAUAUUUAUGUAGUGUACAAUGGAGAGAUGUAUGUAAGCCCAUGUCGGGUGCAAUCAGAUACGGAAAUGGAAUGUGCAUCACCAGUUGUUGAUGUGGACAGCAAUAUUAUUGAAGCGGAAAGGCCAAUUCUUCUUGAAUAUGGGUUCCUAAUGGAUAAUGUUUUGCGUGUUCAAAAUUUAUCUAAGAUUCAUAACAACCAUUUUGAGCUUUAUCCAAAUCCGGAGUACUUUAUAUUCGAAGAAAGAGUUAAGUACUUUAAGAGUGAAUACCUAACCAUUAAUGGUCGAAAUUUAGAUCGCGCUUGCAAAGAAAGUGAUGUAGAAGUAAAAAUAGGAAAUGGAUUUUGCAAUAUUACAUCGCUUUCAAGACAACAACUAACAUGUAGGCCCCCUUCUGAAGCAACCGCAACCAAAAGCAUCAAUGGACCUGAAGUUAUUGUUCGUAUUGGAGCUUCGCUAGAGUAUCGUAUAGGUAUACUUAGCUACGAAUCGUCUAACAUCAUUUUGGAUUGGGGAGAAAAUGUAAUUUUUGCUGUAAUAGCCACAAUUGUAAUCUUACUGCUUAUUUUUGUCGCUUUGCUUGUUGCAUAUAAAAAGAAAAGUUCGGAAUCAAACAGAGUUCUUCGAAACAUGCAAGAGCAGAUGGACAUACUGGAGUUACGCGUCGCAGCUGAAUGUAAAGAGGCGUUUGCCGAACUUCAAACCGAGAUGACUGAUCUUACAGGCGAUCUUACAUCUGGAGGAAUUCCAUUUUUAGAUUAUCGGUCAUAUGCAAUGAAGAUUCUUUUUCCCAAUCAUGAAGACCACAUUGUACUGCAAUGGGAACGUCCUGAACUUCUUCGGAAAGAAAAGGGCUUGCGCAUUUUUGGCCAACUUAUCAUGAAUAAGACCUUUUUGCUACUUUUUAUUCGAACCUUAGAGUCAAACCGAUACUUCUCAAUGCGAGAACGAGUUAAUGUGGCCUCCUUAAUAAUGGUAACUCUGCAAUCCAAACUAGAAUAUUGUACAGAUAUAUUAAAAACUUUAUUAGGGGACUUAAUUGAAAAAUGUAUAGAAGGAAAGAGUCACCCAAAGCUCUUACUACGACGAACUGAAAGUGUGGCUGAAAAAAUGUUAAGUGCUUGGUUUACAUUCCUUCUUUACAAGUUUUUAAAGGAAUGUGCUGGCGAGCCUUUAUAUAUGCUUUUCCGAGCUGUAAAGGGACAAGUAGACAAGGGUCCUGUAGAUGCUUGCACACAUGAGGCAAGAUACUCCCUAAGUGAGGAAAAACUUAUUCGACAGUCUAUUGAUUUCCGACCAAUGAACGUUUACGCAAGUAUUAUACAGCAGCCAAUAUUUUGUAACAACUUGGACAUGUUACCUUCUCACACCGAAAACGUAUCGGUUAAGGUAUUGGAUUGCGAUACAAUUGGACAAGUAAAAGAAAAAUGUUUGGAAACAAUUUAUAGAAACAUUCCAUCAAGCCAAAGACCUCGCAAGGAUGACUUAGAUUUAGAGUGGAGAACAGGAGCAACUGGUCGAGUAAUUCUGUACGAUGAGGACGUAACAUCAAAAACAGAGACCGAAUGGAAAAAACUCAACACUUUGCAGCAUUAUAAUGUUCCAGACGGAGCUGGGCUGAGCUUAGUACCAAAGCAAAGUUCGAUUUAUAACUUUAGCAUUUUGUCGGACAAAAAUGAAAAAUCGCACAAGUAUGAAACUCUUAAUAUAUCGAAAUACACCUCCUCCUCUCCGACAUUUAGCCGCGCCGGAAGUCCUCUUAACAAUGAUAUGCAUGAAAAUGGUCUGAGAUACUGGCAUCUAGUGAAACACCAUGAUAGUGAUAUGCAAAAAGAAGGGGAACGGGUUAACAAAUUGGUAUCAGAGAUUUACUUAACCAGGCUAUUGGCUACUAAAGGAACACUUCAGAAAUUUGUAGAUGAUCUCUUUGAAACAAUAUUUAGCACCGCUCACCGUGGAUCGGCACUGCCAUUAGCUAUAAAGUACAUGUUUGAUUUUCUUGACGAUCAAGCUCAGUUGCAUGGAAUAACUGAUCCAGAAGUCGUACACACUUGGAAAAGUAACAGCUUACCAUUGCGGUUUUGGGUAAAUUUAAUUAAAAAUCCUAAUUUCGUUUUUGACAUCCAUAAGUCAAACAUAGUGGAUUCCUGCCUGUCAGUAGUAGCUCAAACUUUUAUGGACUCUUGUUCAACUUCUGAUCAUCGAUUGGGUAAAGACUCCCCAAGUUCGAAACUUCUCUAUGCAAAAGAUAUACCAGAGUAUCGAAAAUGGGUAGAUCGCUAUUAUAGAGACAUUCGGGAUAUGUCCCCCAUUUCAGAUCAGGACAUGAACGCCAUGCUUGCAGAAGAGUCAAGGCUGCACACAACAGAAUUUAAUACAAAUUGUGCUUUACAUGAGCUAUACACAUAUGCUGUGAAGUACAAUGAACAGCUAACCGUUACACUAGAAGAAGAUGAAUUUUCGCAAAAGCAGCGAUUGGCCUUUAAAUUGGAGCAAGUUCACAACAUAAUGUCGGCAGAAUAAAAACUGCGCUAUCCUACCAAGAUGACAACAAAAUACAAAAAGGUACAUAUCAGAAGCAAUACGGACAGGUUUAUGGUACGAGUCAAUCAAGAAGGGACACACCAUGGUAUUUAGUACUGUUCUCGAAAUCCUUAAAGUGCUAAUCCUCAGUGCUAAACGCUGUCAAAGAGUUUAAUGCUACAGCUGCGCUUACCUUCGAUGACCACACAUUAAUCCUCUUUAACACGUGUACCACCUGACAUCGAUUUAUUGCGGUUGAACGACUGCAAGAGCAUCGAUUAUAAACGAGGAUGAGGAUGGACGAGGGCCGUGUGCCGGUGAUGAUGAUGAUGUAAAGCGUCAGCCCUAUUCAAAAACAGCAACUCAAGCAACCUCCACACCCGUAAUGCGCUGCUGGAGACGAGGUGCAGUAAAUAGAGAUUUAAACGCUGUACUGCUUCGGUUGGCCACUUUUCAGCUAUGUGUCGCCAACGCAACACAAAGAAUUAGCGAUAACUCCGUAGCAGUAUCCUUUCUGAAUAAUCAUUGCAUUUCCAUUUAACGAGCAAAUUAACAAAAUUGAUUGAUUUUACAGUAAGCUAUUUUUACCUCUUAAAUUUAUCCAUCGAUAUAGGCUUAGAUGCGCAGGUUUUAAUACCCGCUACUAGUAGAGUUGGAAAGUUCGCAACAGGUAGAAGUGUUUGACCACGUGAUCAGGAUCACUUUCAGAGCCAAGAUUUUUGAACCUAUAAUGCCUACAAAUUGACGCUAGUGUGAAGUCUCGGUAACAGUUGAUUUUUCAACUGUAUAUGUUGUUGGGCUAAAUAUCCAAUCCCAACAUAAGGUAAAUGUUGUAAGGGCACCUUUAAGAUAUUAUCUUCCUUCGUAUAAAUGAUAUUUUAUAAACCAGUGUUCCUUUCCUCACAGACCUGUUUAGUUUUAAAAUGUUUUAUCAAAAAAAAUGUUAUGCGCUUAUUGGUUAAAGUUUCGUUAAUGUUGAAUGAACUACCUUGGUUUCAAAUAUAUAAAGUAAAGUUGUGCAAGAAGUACUAAAAACAUAUCUUGUCUUGUCUUCAGUUUUUUUUAAUUUGUUGGUUUGUUGGGUAUUAAAGGUCUUAAUAGUUGGUUUUAGUGAUGAACUGUAAAUGUACUGCUAUACUAAGACAUCUUUUCAAAAUAUAUAUAAUCCAAGUAAUAAAUUAAUAAGCGAGAAUAAGCAAAUAUUAGGAAUCAGAUUCUGCACGCUCCUUUCUUAAUUUCCUGUGCACACGCACACUCUUCCCUUCCCAUUACCACUUAAUAAGGGCAAGAGCAGUUAGGUCCGAGGAUACAUAUAUACACACACUUUUAGUCCCUUGACGAACCCACGGUUACAUAUUUCCUUCGUGAUGGUGCGCAGUUAUUUAAAGUAAUAUUUCCGUAUCCGGCAAAUAAUAUGAAACGCGUGUUCCUUCUAAAGGCCUCCGCGUACCGAAGGCCGAUCAUCGUGGAAUUUCGCAGUCAAAUUUGUGAAUAUCGUAAUCGUUAGUUUGUUAUGCUAAUUUUUCUAAAAAGCGAAAGUUUCAAUUAAGUUUGUUCUACCGAUAAAAGAAUGUACUAAAAUUGAAACUUUCAUCAACGUACUUUUAUUUUAUUUAAAAUCGAAUCAUACAUAUAUAUGUAUAUGCUAUACCUUUAAAAGUACAGCCCAUAUGUAUGUACAUAUAUAUAAUCGUCCCGCCCUUUAACCGGCGAAUACGAACACAAAGAUCGUGCACAUUUAUUCAUGCACAAAUCCACACACAAUGCAUAAUUUUAAUUGUUUGCUUCAAGGGUAGCGCUCAACUCUCCUCACAACACAUCCCUAAGUAGGGGUUGGCUAAGGACUAUUCUUUUUUUCCAUUUAUCUAUGUAGGGCUCGGGUGUUUAGUGUAACGAUUUUGACCUCUUUUGUUUGUUACAAAACCUUGUCGGCAUCGGCUGUGGUUUGUAGUAGAAUCUCAUACUCUUUGUUAUCUAAGCUGUACUACAGGCCCGUCUUUCGUUCGUGAUCUUCAAUUGUUAUCUCUUUUGCUUUUUUGUUUGACCUUAAUCAGGAUAAAAUCUGUGGCUGGCGACUUUUUUAGAUAUUUCUUAGGUAAUAACAAAAACUUCAAGCUGCUGAUAUCGAGUAGUGAGGUCGAGAUUCUCGUCGAAGGCAUAGAGACCCUUUUGUUAAAGGCGACACUCAGAUGCGUCAACCAUCAGAAACCCGUUACUCAGCUACUCCUACUAGCGAACGAGAAAAUUCAUUAAUCUUUUUGGCAUAUCGAUAAAAAUUUUCCAAAAUAUAAUCAAAUUUAAAAUAAAUCAACAAAUUUUCAAAAGUGUUGGCGUUGGGGUUAUGGGUAGCUUGUGUGCGUUAGAGUAGGCGUGUCCAAAAUUUUAUGUUAACACAUUUUUUACAAUUGUGAGUGUGACCGUGUUGGGCUGUUUGGAGGCGUUGAAGUGCGCGUGGAAAAUAAUAUUUGGCAAGCGAUUGAUAUUUGAAAAGCAAAUUAAAAAAAUUAAAAUAUUUCAAAACAUUUUUCAGAACUUUGGGCGUGGCAGUUUUAAGCGGGUUAAUGCGUUAGAGUGGGCGUGCCAACAUCAGGAAACCCCUUGCGAUGCGUUUUGGAAUAUGCAUGUUUUAUCUCGAAUUUGUAUGUACAUACUAUGUAUAUACCUUAGGGAAAUAAGUAUAUGUGUAUGAUUAUUUUUACUGUUUAUGAGCCUAUAUCUUCUAUAAUCGUAGCUUUUAAUCUAUUAUUGGUAUGCAAUACUCUACUCUUGCCUUCUGUUCUUACAAUGCAAAUGCAAAAUUCUUCUUUGCUCACCGUUAUAGAAAAAUUGUGUGCUGCGAUUUUUUUUUCUUAGGAAAUAAGUAUAUGUGAACACAAAAGCUUGUGCGCAUUUGUCAAUCAGCGUGUUAUUUGGAUCGAGUAAAUUGGUGUUAAUUGA